rnacentral:rRNA from 1 species
GACGAACGCUGGCGGCGUGCUUAACACAUGCAAGUCGAACGAAGAGCGAUGGAAGCUUGCUUCUAUCAAUCUUAGUGGCGAACGGGUGAGUAACGCGUAAUCAACCUGCCCUUCAGAGGGGGACAACAGUUGGAAACGACUGCUAAUACCGCAUACGAUCUAAUCUCGGCAUCGAGGAAAGAUGAAAGGUGGCCUCUAUUUAUAAGCUAUCACUGAAGGAGGGGAUUGCGUCUGAUUAGCUAGUUGGAGGGGUAACGGCCCACCAAGGCGAUGAUCAGUAGCCGGUCUGAGAGGAGGAACGGCCACAUUGGGACUGAGACACGGCCCAGACUCCUACGGGAGGCAGCAGUGGGGAAUCUUCCGCAAUGGACGAAAGUCUGACGGAGCAACGCCGCGUGAGUGAUGACGGCCUUCGGGUUGUAAAGCUCUGUUAAUCGGGACGAAAGGCCUUCUUGCGAAAAGUUAGAAGGAUUGACGGUACCGGAAUAGAAAGCCACGGCUAACUACGUG